rnacentral:rRNA from 1 species
CCUACGGGAGGCUGCAGUAGGGAAUCUUCCACAAUGGGCGAAAGCCUGAUGGAGCAACGCCGCGUGGGUGAAGAAGGUCUUCGGAUCGUAAAACCCUGUUGUUAGAGAAGAAAGUGCGUGAGAGUAACUGUUCACGUUUCGACGGUAUCUAACCAGAAAGCCACGGCUAACUACGUGCCAGCAGCCGCGGUAAUACGUAGGUGGCAAGCGUUAUCCGGAGUUAUUGGGCGUCAAGGGAACGCAGGCGGUCUGUUAAGUUUGAUGUGAAAGCCUUCGGCUUAACCGGAGUAGUGCAUUGGAAACUGGGAGACUUGAGUGCAGAAGAGGAGAGUGGAACUCAAUGUGUAGCGGUGAAAGGCGUAGAUAUAUGGAAGAACACCAGUGGCGAAAGCGGCUCUCUGGUCUGUAACUGACGCUGAGGUUCGAAAGCGUGGGUAGCAAACAGGAUUAGAUACCCUGGUAGUC